ACAGCAGCCGCCGCGGUAAUACGUAGGUGGCGAGCGUUGUCCGGAAUUAUUGGGCGUAAAGGGAGCGCAGGCGGACAUAUAAGUCCAUCUUAAAAGUGCGGGGCCCAACCCCGUGAGGGGAUGGAAACUGUAUGCCUUGAGUGCAGGAGAGGAAAGCGGAAUUCCCAGUGUAGCGGUGAAAUGCGUAGAUAUUGGGAGGAACACCAGUGGCGAAGGCGGCUUUCUGGACUGUAACUGACGCUGAGGCUCGAAAGCCAGGGGAGCGAACGGGAUUAGAGACCCCCGUAGUCCCUGUCUCUUAUACA
rnacentral:rRNA from 1 species